rnacentral:sRNA from 1 species
GACCGCCGGUGAGAGCCGGCCAAGGCCAUACGGACAGCCGGGUCGAAUGCCGA